rnacentral:rRNA from 1 species
UACGUAGGCAGCGAGCGUUGUUCGGAAUUACUGGGCGUAAAGAGUGUGUAGGCGGUGCUCUAAGUUCGGUGUGAAAUCUCCCGGCUUAACUGGGAGGGUGCGCCGGAAACUGGAGUGCUCGAGCGUGGGAGAGGAAAGCGGAAUUCCUGGUGUAGCGGUGAAAUGCGUAGAUAUCUGGAGGAAUACCGGUGGCGAAGGCGGCAUCCUGGACCGACAUUGACGCUGAACGGCGAAAGCUAGGGGAGCAAACGGG